GAUGAACGCUGGCGGCGUGCCUAAUACAUGCAAGUCGAGCGAACAGAUGAGGAGCUUGCUCCUCUGACGUUAGCGGCGGACGGGUGAGUAACACGUGGAUAAACUACCUAUAAGACUGGGAUAACUUCGGGAAACCGGAGCUAAUACCGGAUAAUAUAUUGAACCGCAUGGUUCAAUAGUGAAAGACGGUUUUGCUGUCACUUAUAGAUGGAUCCGCGCCGCAUUAGCUAGUUGGUAAGGUAACGGCUUACCAAGGCAACGAUGCGUAGCCGACCUGAGAGGGUGAUCGGCCACACUGGAACUGAGACACGGUCCAGACUCCUACGGGAGGCAGCAGUAGGGAAUCUUCCGCAAUGGGCGAAAGCCUGACGGAGCAACGCCGCGUGAGUGAUGAAGGUCUUCGGAUCGUAAAACUCUGUUAUUAGGGAAGAACAAAUGUGUAAGUAACUAUGCACGUCUUGACGGUACCUAAUCAGAAAGCCACGGCUAACUACGUG
rnacentral:rRNA from 1 species